rnacentral:rRNA from 1 species
AUUGAACGCUGGCGGAAUGCUUUACACAUGCAAGUCGAACGGCAGCACGGGGCAACCUGGUGGCGAGUGGCGAACGGGUGAGUAAUACAUCGGAACGUGCCCAAUCGUGGGGGAUAACGUAGCGAAAGCUACGCUAAUACCGCAUACGAUCUACGGAUGAAAGCGGGGGAUCGCAAGACCUCGCGCGAAUGGAGCGGCCGAUGGCAGAUUAGGUAGUUGGUGGGGUAAAGGCUCACCAAGCCGACGAUCUGUAGCUGGUCUGAGAGGACGACCGGCCACACUGGGACUGAGACACGGCCCAGACUCCUACGGGAGGCAGCAGUGGGGAAUUUUGGACAAUGGGCGCAAGCCUGAUCCAGCCAUUCCGCGUGCAGGAUGAAGGCCUUCGGGUUGUAAACUGCUUUUGUACGGAACGAAAAGGCUCUGGUUAAUACCCGGGGCUCAUGACGGUACCGUAAGAAUAAGCACCGGCUAACUACGUGCCAGCCGCCGCAGUAA